GACGAACGCUGGCGGCGUGCUUAACACAUGCAAGUCGAACGGUAAGGCCCUUCGGGGUGUCACGUGGCGGACGGGUGCGUAACACGUGGGGAACCUGCCCCGAGGUGGGGGAUAUCCGUCGGAAACGGCGGGCAAUCCCGCAUGAGCUCGAUCCGCGGAGGCGGGUUGAGGAAAGCCGUGAGGCGCCUUGGGAGGGUCCUGCGGCCGAUUAGGUAGACGGCGGGGUAACGGCCCACCGUGCCGAUGAUCGGUAGCUGGUCUGAGAGGACGGCCAGCCACACGGGGACUGAGAGACGGCCCCGACUCCUACGGGAGGCAGCAGCAAGGAAUCUUCCGCAAUGGGCGAAAGCCUGACGGAGCAACGCCGCGUGGGGGAUGAAGCUUUUCGGAGUGUAAACCUCUUUUCUCGGGGACGAAGAUCUGACGGUACCCGAGGAAUAAGGACCGGCUAACUACGUGCCAGCAGCCGCGGUAA
rnacentral:rRNA from 1 species